CUUCUCCAAAGUCAGUUCAAAUGGCAGAUCAGAUCAGCUCACCGAUGACCAGAUUUCUGAAUUCAAGGAAGCCUACAGUCUCUUCGAUAAAGAUAUAGACGGACAACAUUUCGAUUGAAUGUGAAGCAACAAAAUGCCUUUCUAACGACGUUCUUUAGAACUCGGCCUCGGUAUGGAAUCAAAUGUGCACAGCGUUGUCCAUUAGGGCUUGCCUUGAUCUGCGGGUCGUGGAAGUUGCUACUUUCCAAGGAAACAACGACUGUUUGUACAUUACUUUCCCUUCAAAGGCUUUUGUACUGGCAAUUGAUGCAUACAAUGGAACAAUUCUCUAGCAAAAGAAUGUUGGUCCAUUAAGUUCUGCAGUCUUUGCUCCCAACAGUUGAUUCCAUUGGUUGGAUCACUUUUGGUUUACUAGAUGGACUAUUUUACUCAUUUUCUCCUUGGGAUUCUCAAAACAUUCGAUUAUGUAAUCCAGGUAAGUCUGUAACUU